rnacentral:rRNA from 1 species
UGGGGAAUAUUGCACAAUGGGGGAAACCCUGAUGCAGCGACGCCGCGUGAAGGAAGAAGUAUCUCGGUAUGUAAACUUCUAUCAGCAGGGAAGAAAAUGACGGUACCUGACUAAGAAGCCCCGGCUAACUACGUGCC